rnacentral:piRNA from 1 species
UGACAACCUGUGUCUACCUGUGGUCCUC